rnacentral:rRNA from 1 species
GACAGAGGGGGCAAGCGUUGUCCGGACUGACUGGGCGUAAAGGGCGCGAAGGUGGGAGGGUGCGUCGGCGGUGAAAUCGCCCGGCUUAACCGGGCGGGGUCUGGCGAUACGGCCCUUCUUGAGGCAUCCAGAGGUCGGUGGAAUUCCCGGUGUAGUAGUGAAAUGCGUAGAACUCGGGAGGAACACCAGUGGCGCAGGCGGCCGACUGGGGAUGACCUGACACUGCGGCGCGACAGCGUGGGGAGCGAACCGA